GCCAGGUGUGGUGGUGCAUGCCUGUAAUCCCAGCUACUUAGGAGGCUGAGGCAGGAGAAUCACUUGAACUCAGGAGGUGGAGGUUGCAGUGAGCCUAAGAUUAUGCCAUUGCACUCCAGCCUGGGUGACAGAGCGAUACUCUGUCUCAA
rfam:Gorilla gorilla gorilla genomic chromosome, chr3, whole genome shotgun sequence